AUGGCGUAAAGGAGCCAAUCUGUGGAUACCCCCACCGCAUCUGUUUUAUUUCAUGGCGCUCAUCUCCACGUCUCCUCAAAAGGGUAGGCUAGUGGUGGCUGUGUUAUCGGCCAUUAGCAUUUAUUCCUAUGUUUGAUAUUUCAAAAAAUGACCAAUGGACGGGUAAUUUAACAGCCGGGCUUUACCCGCAAGGUUGCCCAUUAAUUGUAAGAAUACAUGGAUUGGACCUCACCGCCAAGCGAAGCCUGGUGCGAGCUUGGCACUGCAAGUGACGUGGCCGUGAAACUCGAGACUCUACCCAAACCUACAGGUCACAUGACAGAUUUGUGCAGUGAUGAAGCAGAAAACUCGCCCCACCUUCAGCUCCACACUCUCAAGCAGUUUGAACAG